rnacentral:rRNA from 1 species
UCUUUAGGAUUUAAUUUAAGAUCGGACCUGCCCAUUGAUUUUGAAAUUAAAAGGCUGCGGUAUUUUAACUGUACGAAGGUAGCAUAAUCACUUGUCUUUUAAUUGAAGGCUAGAAUGAAUGGUUUGAUGAAAAAUAGACUUUCUUUUUUUAAUUUAUUUGAAUUUAAUAUUUUAGUUAAAAAGCUAAAAUUUUUUUAUAGGACGAGAAGACCCUAUAGAAGUUUAUUUUAUUAAUAUUUUAUUAUUUUAUGGUUUUUGAAUAAUUUUUUAGAGUGUAAAAUUUUGUUGGGGUGACAUUAAAAUUUAUUUAACUUUUAUUAUUUUUUUCAUUAAUUUAUGUUUUAUUGAUCCAUAAUUUUUGAUUAUAAGUUUAACUUACCUUAGGGAUAACAGCGUAAUUUUUUCGGAGAGAUCAUAUU